GACGAACGCUGGCGGCGUGCUUAACACAUGCAAGUCGAGCGGAGCGGCGAACGGGUGAGUAACGCGUGAGUAACUGCCCCCCUAUCUGGGAUAACAGUUGGAAACGGCUGCUAAUACCGGAUAGUGGGGGAUGACUCGCGUCCUAUCAGCUUGUUGGUGGGGUAGUGGCCUACCAAGGCGGCGACGGGUCGCCGGCCUGAGAGGGCGACCGGCCCCAGUAGGCUGGGAUACGACCCAAACUUCUACGGGAUGCGGCAGUGGGGAAGAUUGCACAAUGGGGGUAACUCUGAUGCAGAGAGGCCGCGUGAACGACGUGGGCUUUCGCGUCGUAAAGGUCUUUUCUAUGGGAAGCGGUACCUUAAGAAAAAGCCCCGGCUAACUACGUGCCAGCCGCCGCGGUAAUAC
rnacentral:rRNA from 1 species